rnacentral:lncRNA from 1 species
CAGUAAGCAUUGACUUUGCAUCUGAAAUCUGUUUUAGUUUUCUCUCUUUAGCUAUUUACCUGCUUCAUUGAAUCUGUGAGGCUGCCAGGGCCAGCUACAGCUGGGGUGGAGGCCUCUCCACCUUCUGAGCGGACGUGACCUAUUCCGAGGAGGCUUCUCUAUCAGCCUCAGACCCGAGUUUUUAGACCAGAACAGAGAAAUCACGAUUAGAAACCAGUCCACAAUACUGAUGUACCCUACAUGCUCCCACAAGACCCUGGAUGAAUAGAAGACAUGUCCAGAGCCCUCAAAAUGCAGUUUGCAGUCUGUUAAGAUCCAUCUGGCCUAUACAAGUCAUUCCUUCCCUUGCCCGAGGCAACAGGGU